AUUGAACGCUGGCGGCAGGCCUAACACAUGCAAGUCGAGCGAGCGGCGGACGGGUGAGUAAUGUAUGGGGACUGCUCGAUAGCGGGGGAUAACUACUGGAAACGGUAGCUAAUAACGCAUACUAUCGGAUAACCCAUAUGGGAUUGGCUAGUAGGUGAGGUAAUGGCUCACCUAGGCGACGAUCCCUAGCGGGUCUGAGAGGAUGAUCAGCAACACGGGGACUGGGACACGGCCCAGACUCCUAGGGGGGCAGCAGGGGGAAAUAUUGGACAGUGGGCGAAAGCCUGAGGCAGACAUGCCGCUUAUAGGAAGAAGGCCCUAGGGUUGAAAAGUACUUUCAGUCGGGAGACGUUACCACAGAAGAAGCACCGGCUAACUACGUGCCAGCAGCCGCGGUAAUUC
rnacentral:rRNA from 1 species